rnacentral:misc_RNA from 1 species
AAUAUUUGUAUGCAGUAUUAUUGGGUUAUUCAAAUACCAAUGUAUGAACUUAGUCAGUUACCAAGCAAAUUUUUAGAUUCACAUCUUCGGAGACAAUGAUGGAUCAGAAAACAGCUGAAAUAAUUAGUAAUGAGUAACUUGCAACACGGAAAUAACAUUGAUAGUAUAUAACCUCUGCUGUGCUGGAAAAUAAUAAAGCAAGCGCCCCUUAUGACACCGGGAAUUAAGAAGUAUCUUUUCAAGGCCGUCAUCCUCAUGCACUUUCAUCAUUUUAGCAGCUAUCCAACAACACAUCAGAAACUAGUGUAACUGCAAAUAUCUUAUAUCAUAACUAAAUACAAAUAGUAAUCUUCUGCGGUGAUUUCAAUAAUAGAAAGAGGAAAUAAAGUUUGUGAAGGGUGG